rnacentral:lncRNA from 1 species
UAUUCAACCCGAUCGUAAAGCUUGCUAGAAGUGAUAUCGAUCAAUGAUCCAAUAGAUUAAUCGAUCGAUAUUGUGAAAGGUGUAUCGAUCGAUAUUUCUAUAGAAUAAUCGAUCGACACUUUCUACAGAUCAACAUGUGAGAGCUGAGAUCUUAGAUCUAGUAAUAGAUAAUCUACACAUGCGAGAGCUGGUAGAUUAUUGUUAUUGUUUAUCUUGCAAGCAACAAUUAGCCUCUAUAUCA